UUAUGAACAUUAAGAAACAAACUCUACAAAACAAACAUGUGACAGCAGAGUGUUGCGCAAAUCAAGGUAAGUGAAUUAGGAUGUAGUCAGUAAAAAAUGCUUGGGAACCACUGGUUUAUGUUAUCGGAUACCACGGCGAGAUGUGCUUUAUAAAAAACGAACAACAGAAUUCGUCACGGGAAGGAACAAGUGGAAGAACAUAUAUAAAAAAUACUUACAAGUCAGAAGUUAAACAGGUCAAAAACCUAUACGUAUUUCAGCUAAUGAAUAACAAGAAAAAAACCGAUGUAUCAAGAUGAACCAAUCAGCGUGUAGUUUUGGUUUUGCUUAUGAAGUAACCAAUCAGUAGCCAGAGAAUCACAUGUGUUUACAUACAAAAAGCCGUGAUUUUUGACAAGUCAGUCAGUCGUUAAGAAGAUUUUCCAGAAUUUUUAUAGUUCUAUUAGAAAAAACAGCCGUAUUACAGUCAGAAGAAAAUAUUCCUUGUACGAACUCCUUGGGUAAAGUUCCUUGAACUGGUGGCCUGAGUCGAUCUACGACUGCAUAACCUUGAACUACAUAAAUUUCAUUUGUAACUUGUGUUAAACCGACCGAUGUAAAUUGGUGCAGUGCUCCAGGAUUUUGGGGUUAGCCAACAACAGACUGUGAAGAAUAAAGAAAGAAAUUAAGCUAAGUUAGUAUAAGCAGAAAUAAGUAGGGAUAAAAUGAGUUGAUAUGGCCACCACUGACGGACAAAUAAACGUGGGUGCACGAACCAGAGCUGACAGUUCUCGGCUUCACUCGAUACUAACGCGGAUUUUAAGUUUAACCCAGAAGAAAGGAGAAUCGGUUAGUUCAUAUGGGUAUAAACUGGAGGAGCUAGGUAACCGAAUUCCUAUGGUGUAUAAACAACCAGAUGAUAUGGCGGUUCAGGAAACUUUGAAAUCAGUUUAUGAACAGGGAUUACUCAGUAAUCCUGCUAUAAGGCUCGUGAACGAAGCAAAUACCACAGACGCAAGAUUAUCGGACUUAAUUAAAGUAGCUAGGAGAGAAGAAAGACGCGAGCAGUCACUAUACUCGUAUGCGAAACUGAAUAAGCCAGAGGGACCAAAGUGUUUUAAUUGUGGUAAAAUCGGGCAUAUGGCUAAAAACUGUUUUAACAGAAACAAUAUGCAGAUAAAAUGCUUUAAUUGUGGAAUAAGAGGCCACGUGGCGAGGAACUGUAGACGUCAGUCGAAAGCCCCCAAAGACCGAAACUUUUAGAAAAAGGUAGUCUACAAAUACGGAAACCAGCAUUUGCUAAAGCAAAAAUAUAUAUCUAUAUGUAUAAGAUAAUAAAAAAUAUAUAAAA